GCCUGGUGCGGUGGUGCGUGCCUGUAGUCCCAGCUACUUGGGAGGAUGAGGUGGGAGGAUCACUGGAGCGCAGGAGUUCUGGGCUGCAGUGCUCUAUGCCUAUAGGGUGUCCGCACUAAGUUCGGCAUCCAUAUGGUGACCUCCUGGGAGCGGGAGACUGCCAGGUUGCCUAACGAGGGGUGAACUGGCCGAGGUUGGAAAUGGAGCAGGUCAAAACUCCCGUGCUGAUGAGUAGUGGAAUCACACCUGUGAAUAGCCACUGCACUCCAGCAUGGGCAACAUAGUGAGACCCCGUCUCA
rnacentral:SRP_RNA from 1 species